CCUACGGGAGGCAGCAGUGGGGAAUUUUGGACAAUGGGCGCAAGCCUGAUCCAGCUAUUCCGCGUGUGGGAUGACGGCCCUCCGGUUGUAAACCACUUUAGUCGAGGACGUAAAGUAGCUAUCGUAUACCUAGCUCUGCUGACUUUACUCUAAGAAUAAGCACCGCCUAACUACGUGCCAGCAGCCGCGGUAAUACGUAGGGUGCGAGCGUUGAUCGGAAUUACUGGGCGUAAAGGGUGUGCAGGCGGGUGAGUAAGACAGAUGUGAAGUCCCCGGGCUUAACCUGGGAACCGCAUAUGUGACUGCUUGGCUAGAGUGCGGCAGAGGGAGGUGGAAUUCCACGUGUAGCAGUGAAAUGCGUAGAUAUGUGGAAGAACACCGAUGGCGAAGGCAGCCUACUGGGACGCAACUGACGCUCAUACACGAAAGCGUGGGGAGCAAACAGGAUUAGAUACCCCAGUAGUC
rnacentral:rRNA from 1 species